GGUUUUGGAUUAUCUCCUUUCCAGCACAACAAGCAAAACUCAGGUCUUGUGAUGAACUUAUCAAUCUCCAUUAAUUAUAUCAGCAGUGUGGUGAAAUCAUCUAUUCUGUCAUCUCUGGAAUAUUGCUUGGCUUCAGGUUUGGCUCUCUCAAUCCGAUUUGUAGAUACUUAUUCGUGCACUUGUGACCUCCUGAUUGGAUUAUUGGAAUUCUUUGCUGACAGCUCUUCCUGAUAAGGCCUUACACAGGAUUCAAUUAAUCCAAAUGCAGUAGUGAAGAAAUUCUGUUAAGCAACCGCUCUGCUGUGAUCCAUACAGCCCUGCACUCGCCCGAUGGGCGGCACUUCCAGCAGCUGCAGAGGCAGUGCAUGCUGCACUGGGAGCCAGCAAACAUCUCGCUCUUCAGCACGCUUAUCUCUUUCAUCUGCCUUCUUCCUGACUCCACAGCAAGAUGUGCUGACCUCUCGGGGGCUCCUAAUCUCUUUAUCUACUGACCUCCCACUUACUAUUUGUCCUAAGUAUUGAAAUCAUUUAAUCCCCAAUAUCACUGAGAUGAAGAUGUAGAAUUUCCCCCUUCGUACUUUGCAGUGUGGUACGCAACUCUGCAGUCUAUGAACUUCGUGUUUUGCAGCAAGUACCCCCUCAUUAUUUACUAUACUUCCCUAUGGGCAGCUGCGAUCACAGCGGUCUUCCCUUUCCUCAUUCCUUGGCCUGGAGGACAGAAACCACCCACCAGAAGUGUCUGCAGGGCCUUCUAAUAGAUCUGUAUUCAAACUGCAGUACUGGAGCCAGGAUCCUCUGGAGUUUCCCUAAAUCCUCCACUUACUGUAACAGACAAAGAGCCUUAAUAGGAUCCUAAGGCUUUUAAGGCACUUAGAAAAGGUGAAUACACAAAAAACUCAGAAAUCUGAAGAUGUUAAAGAAAAAUUUUAAAAAUUAAAUUUUAAAAAUAAGACUCCAUUCCACACUCUUGAGAUUGACUGAAUAAUACACGACAAACUCCAGCCAUUAUCUCCAGGCAGGAGAAGCUUGAGCAGCAGCAUGCACUGGGGCACUGUGAUCAGACGUGCUGGACAAACCUUCCUGAGCAAUCAAACCCUGAAGGGUGAAGUUGGUACAGGCACCCAAAAACCAACUGUCUGAUGUGAGGGCAGUAUUCACGUGGGCUUCCAUCGAGAAAAGGAAGAAGAGAUGCUGGAUGACACCCACAGAUGGGAGCUGCUCUCCCCGGCAUGGCAGCUGAUGCUGAAUGCAUGCACGGAUCUCAGAAACCAAUAAUGAAGUUCUCUCAUUUUCCACAUUAUUCUAAAAAUAUCUUUAGUCAUUAUUUUUAAUUACCUGUUAAAGCAGCAGGUGUGACAGAUUUGCAUCACAUUUUCAGCCUACUAAAUCGUCCCGUUUUGCAGACAUACACAGAAGGCAAAGCCUCUAAAACUCUGUGUGUUUUGCACAGAACACAGAUGCUUGUUACUCACAGCAUCAAUGGGACGAAGAGACCUGGUUCUUAACUGACACAAAACAAAUCCAGACCUCCUCAGCCUUAUUUUCAGUGGGUGGGAGAGCUUGGCAAGACAAACUGCUGCACCCGUUUGUACAGAACAAAGACAAGAAGCCGGAGAUUACCCACACUGUGGGCAGCCGCGUGUCCCACCGCACUGCUUGCGCACAACCUGGGCAAAUAGUUUUAAAGUUCCAGAGCCCGCAGUGGGUGUGGAUGAGGGGACCUCCUGAACCUUCCCAGUAAAUCCUGAGGCCUAUCGAACAUCUAUCAGAACUCCGCAGUUGCUUUGCCAAGGGUUUGUGAUAGUUGGAAUUUAGGUAACUUCUGAAAAUUAGGACUGGAUAAUGAAGUUCCCACGAGGAAUUUGUUGCUGCUGUUCAGGAGCAUUAUCUAGCACAGAGUUCAAGGGCCUGGCCUGCUGGCACGUAAAGAAACUAACAUUUCACUCCAGAUUGCAGCUGAGUAUGUUUUACACUACAGAAAAGCAAGCUUGUGUCAACCCAGUGCAAUGCAGCCCCCAGCGCUGUGCUGCAGGAGGGCUGGGGGGGACUUUACAUGAAAGCAAAGCAGACAAACUGACUGAGGUGCUCAGUUCCUGCAGGGCUGCACUGCCUUUCACGAGGGCUAACCAACGGACACAGCCACACACGGCACCUCUUCCAUUUGCUCAAGUCACCUGCAGUCCAGAAUGGGAACAUGGAUGGAGUGCUAACACCCAUAAAAGCAGCACGCAUUGUGGCCUGUUUUCCACAAGCAAGAUGUUCCCAGCCAGAGGAUUAUAAGUGCCAUGCUUCGUUACAUUUCAAACAAUAAAAAUGAAUGACCCAUCUCCAGUGAGUGUCAUAUUUCUGGAAGGGAGGAUAGCCCGUGUGCUAAGGAACAUGUCCUAAAUCUGUCUGCUCCAUUAACCUUUGAAAGUUGGAAUAGUUCUAAGGUUUGAGAAGCAAUUAAUAUCCUGUAGGCAAUAACAUUCUUGAAUAGACGACCCAGGAUUUCAGUUACACCUGAGCAGAAAGUAAUACCUCACCAAGAGCUCUCAAAGAACUGAAAACAAAAAACCACCCCAAAAAUCUCAUUUUGAAGUGCAGUGAGAGGUCAUAAAAACUGUGGAUUACUUUAGUUAGCCAUUUGUAACAGGUAAAUGCAGGAGUGUGACUUCCUGGCGUGGGGGGAAAGGUCUGUAUGACUUUUCCAGGGUUAUGAAUACAUAAAUAACAAUGGUCACUGCAGAAGGACAGAAGCUUUGGGAUUAACCUUUCCACACAUUUCUAAGUAACCUGCUGACCCAGUAAAAGAUUUUUGUGUUUGUUCUCCACAUCAAUCAUACCUAUAGGAGAUGUAAACAUUUCUCCAUCUACCUCGGAAUGGAAACCAGAAAAUAAUCACCCAUCCUUUACAAUUAGUUGUUUACACUCAAGCUGCCCUUCAGUAAAUGCAUGGCUACAGGAUUUUUGUGUAAGAAAUUAAUGGCUUUACCCAUGCCAUGUAUUACUGCCAUUCCAGAAAUGAAGCCAUUCUGCCCAGGUUUACCAAGAGCUCCCUCAGUGCUCCAAGUAUGAGAGAUCACUUCCCCACCAUGGAAUCAAGAUUGGUUUAAGCUGUUCGCUUCUCCAAGAGAGGAGAAGAAGCGUCCACCCCACUGCGCCCACAUCCCAGAAUGACUCCCAUGUACGCCCAUGUGCCCAUGAAGGGCACCUCCCCAGCCCACAGCUACCACUGGCAGCCCAUGCAGCAGGGCCAUCAAUAACAGGCCUGAGCAUUAAGCAGCACAGAACUGAGCAUUUCAGAUUAAGUGCAUUCCAGAACCCUUUUCUAGCAGGGAAUUCAAGCUGUGAUGCACAUGAUAUUAUUUUCCUUCUUAAGUUCUACAACACAUGAGUUUGCCUGACAAGAAAAGAGAUCCAGAGGAUUCAGGCUGGGUCAGCAUCUGGAGUUAAGAGAGAACUGACAGCGAUUUCCCACGCAAGUUUUCUGACAAAAAUAAAACUCCUUGUUCCAAAGAGGUUAAAUCAGAUCUGUAACCAACAUCCCAGAAAGACACACUGAUUUCCACUGGCAUUAGGAUGGGCCUUUGUUGCGUACCAGCUGUUGAGUAAGAACACAGUUAACAUCUUCCUUCAAGACACUGAGCCCGUCUUGGAACCUUCCUCUGCUGCACACCUUUCCCCUGUGGCAGAGGGAUGCAGAGAAGUGCAGAAGUUGCCAACACCGAAAAUCAGCAGUGCCUUCAGGUUCACACAACACCGGAAUUCCCAGGCCUUUAGCGUUUACUUCCUGCCCUAUCACGGUGGAGAAUGAUUUCAGCCUGUCCCAAUGAGUCACAAAGUAAAGUUUUAGCAUAGAUAUUUGUCAAGGAGACCAAUAAAAUGAAAUAAAUAGGGUAACAAAGUGGGAAUUAAAUACAGUGGGGAAAACAAGAGCAACGAUCUUUGCUUUAAAAGCACAAAGCUGGAUUGCUGUUUAGUAAAGCAGAUGCUUUUAUCAAUGUCCAGAGAACAGCUGAAGUGGGGCAGUAAUUGGCAGGGACUGACCUCGGGCUGAUCUGAA
ensembl:lncRNA